CCAAUAGAACCCAAGGGUGUAUGGUGGAUGCCUUGACACUAAGAGGCGAUGAAGGACGUGGCGUAGCUGCGAUAAGCGAGGGGGAGGCGUGUAGCAACCUUUGAUCCCUCGAUUUCCGAAUGAGGCAACUCACACAGUUUGAAGACUGUGUACUCUACGAUGUAGAGAGCGAACCCGGGGAAGUGAAACAUCUCAGUACUCGGAGGAAAAAAGAACAAUAGUUAUUCCCGAAGUAGCGGCGAGCGAAAGGGGAAGAGCCCAAACCUGUAUGCGCCACAGGUAAUCUUCGUAAGAGGAUUUCCUGUGGCAUGUAUAGGGGUUGUAGGGUAGAGACUGGCGUAAGCCGGAAAGUUACAAAUUGUACGUAUAGAAGAAUUUGCUGGAAAGCAAAGCCCCAGAGGGUGAUAGCCCCGUAGUCGAAAUGCGAACAACUUUUUUGUCUCUAUACCUGAGUACUCCAAGACACGAAUAGCUUGGAGGAAGCUAGCGGAACUAACCGUUAAGGCUAAAUACUACUUAGUGAUCGAUAGUGAACUAGUACCGUGAGGGAAAGGUGAAAAAUAGUCCGGGAGGACGUUGAAAUAGAUCUGAAACCAUACAUCUACAAGGAGUCAGCGAGGUCAGCAUAUUGCGCGAGAACAUAUCUCGUCGUGUCACGUUUGUGAUACUUCGAGCUUUCGUACGUAAUAUGCUGACCUCCAUGGCGUGCCUAUUGAAGAAUGAGCCAACGAGUUAAUGCAUGCGGUUGCCUAAACCCAUCCGGGGUGGAGGCUUAGGGAAACCGAGUAUGAAUAGUGCGAAUAUAUCGUAUGCAUUAGACCCGAAACCUGGUGAGCUUGCCAUGAGCAGGGUGAAGUUUGUAGAAAUACAGAUGAAGGCCCGAACUGGUUAGUCGUGCGACUCUAUCGGAUGACUUGUGGCAAGGAGUGAAAAGCUAAUCGAACUGGGAAAUAGCUGGUUCUCUCCGAAAUAUGUUUUGGCAUAGCGUCUGAAGUACCCCUGGGGGGUAGAGCACUGGAUGGGCUGAAUAGGGAGAAAUCUCGUCAGCUCAACCAAACUCCGAAUACCCAGGAUUAACGUUUCAGGCAGUAAGACUCCGGGGGCGAAGCUCCGGUGGUCAAAAGGGAAACAGCCCAGAUCUCAAGUUAAGGUCCCUAAAUCUAUGCUCAGUGCAGUUUGAAGGUGGUGGGGUUUCUUCGACAGUGAGGAGGUUGGCUUAGAAGCAGCCAUCCUUUAAAGAAAGCGUAACAGCUCACUCACUAAGAGACCCUGCGCCGAAGAUAAUCGGGGCUAAGCAUAGUACCGAAACUGAGGACUUGUCGUUUUUUCGAAAACGGGGAGUGGUAGGAGAGCGUUCCAAUCCGCGUUGAAGCUCAAGCCGUGAGGCAGGGUGGAGCGUUUGGAAGUGCGUAUGUUGGCACAAGUAACCGCAAUGCAGGUGAGAAUCCUGCACGCCGAAAGACUAAGGUUUCCUUUGCGAUGAUAAUCAGCGAAGGGUUAGUCGGUCCUAAGGGGAUGGUGAUAACCGAACCCGAUGGAUACAUGGUUAAUAUUCCAUGACUUCGCAUAUAUGCGAUGGGAUGACGAAGUGUAGUAUGUAAGGCCAAUUAUUGGAUUUUGGUCUGCAUUCUUAGUGUGCGAUCUAGGCAAAUCCGGAUCGCUUUCUUCAAUGAUGAACGUAAGGAAUGUGGCUAGUUGAAGGUUCGCCUUUGAUAAGCUUACAAAGCACGCUUCCGAGAAAAUUCUCUAAGCUCUAAUAUAUGCGGAACCGUACCGAAAACCGACACAGGUGGUCACGUCGAGAAGACGAAGGCGAACGAGUGAAUGUUUCCCAAGGAACUAGGCAAAAAAGCAGCCGUAACUUCGGGAUAAGGCUUCCCCACCUCCGGGUGGGGCGCAGCGAAAGUUUGUCUGGCAACUGUUUACCAAAAACACAGCUCCCUGCGAACACGUAAGUGGAUGUAUAGGGGGUGACGCCUGACCAAUGCCAGAAGGUCAAAUAACUGUGGUGCGAUUAUAUCAAGCUGGCGGUUAUAAGCCCUGGUGAAUGUCGGCCGUAACUAUAACGGUCCUAAGGUUCUC
rnacentral:ncRNA from 1 species